rnacentral:rRNA from 1 species
GACGUAGGGCGCGAGCGUUGUCCGGAUUUAUUGGGCGUAAAGAGCUCGUAGGCGGCUUGUCGCGUCGUCCGUGAAAACUUGGGGCUCAACCCCAAGCUUGCGGUCGAUACGGGCAGGCUAGAGUUCGGUAGGGGAGACUGGAAUUCCUGGUGUAGCGGUGAAAUGCGCAGAUAUCAGGAGGAACACCGGUGGCGAAGGCGGCCAACUGGGAUACACCUGACGCUGAGGCACGAAGGCGUGGGGAGCGAACGGG